GGAAGCUGUCCGUUGACUUCUGGGCCCCGCGGCGAGGGCCGGGGGUGUGGAGGCCUCGUUGCCUGACCUCGGGCUUAACACCCGGAAUCCUGCGUCCCCCCAGGCUCCACCUCCAUUUGGGACACCCGACUGUGUGGGUCGGAAAAGGCCCUUCACCGUCUCUGGACCUAGGUCGUCUCAUCAGUAAAAUAGGGUUAAAGGGAGAACGCAGCGCACCACGGAGAAUGCGUCUAACGUAGGCUCCGACUGAACUCUGCCUGUUUAAGGAUCACUUCUAGAAAUCCUUCUCAGCGACGCUUUCCCUGAAUCCGCAGUGGAGCUUUUCAUUUCCCUGCAGCUAACUCGGCCACACUUAUCCCCCAUUUUAUCUCUUUCUACCUUUUAUUUCUUCCUUUCCCUUUCUACCUCACGGGCCUCUAGAUGAGGUGUUGUGAACAGGACUUAAGUUGAAUAUUUGAUCUCCCACUCCUGAGCACAGCUUACCCAGCAGUGAUUCUCGGCCCGGCCUGCGCAAUCGGAUCGCCUUGGAGCACCUAAAAAAAUACUGGUGCUUGGGCCCUACCCCAAACCAAUUCAACCAAAAUCUCCUACAGUGGACCUGUGUGUCGUUCACCAAGAUGAUGUUGGUACAAUUAGUGAGAUGCAGCACACCACCCUUUGCCUCUGGAAGAGAAACCAGACUGCAAAGGGGACUGAGUACAGAAGCUGACGGAACUCAGAAGGACAAGACAAAAAAGCAUAAAUGUACCCGACUGGACAGUGCUUGGGGUCCCCUCUGCAGACACAGUUGAGAAAAUCCCAGAGGCUCUUGACAACAUGGAAUCCUUCUGUGAAAAUCCUGCUGCCCUUCUAUCAGUCUUCAUUGACCGUACCAAAAAACUUCAACUCAAAUUUAUGAAAAGCAGUCACUGUUUCCCUUUGGCCACAGGAAAGCUUGAGAGCGAAGACUGUCAUGUCUGCAAAGUGCUGGCAACACAUUCUGAUCAAUUUUCCAUGAUGCACUUGGUGCCUUAUACACAGUAAAUGACCAAGAAAUGUUUCAUUAAUUGAAUCAGAAACUAAA